rnacentral:rRNA from 1 species
AGCAGCCGCGGUAAUUCCAGCUCCAAUAGCGUAUAUUAAAGUUGCUGCAGUUAAAAAGCUCGUAGUUGAAUUUCGGGACCAUCAUGUCGGUCGUGCCUCGGUACGUACUGGCAUUGUUGGUUUCUCCCUUCUGACGAACCAUGAUGUCAUUAAUUUGAUGUCAUGGGGAAUCAGGACUGUUACUUUGAAAAAUUAGAGUGUUUAAAGCAGGCUCGCGCUUGAAUACAUUAGCAUGGAAUAAUGAAAUAGGACAUUUGAUUCUAUUUUGUUGGUUUCUAGGAUCGAUGUAAUGAUUAAUAGGGAUAGUUGGGGGCAUUAGUAUUCAAUUGUCAGAGGUGAAAUUCUUGGAUUUAUUGAAGACUAACUACUGCGAAAGCAUUUGCCAAGGAUGUUUUCAUUAAUCAAGAACGAAAGUUAGGGGAUCGAAGACGAUCAGAUACCGUCGUAGUC